AAUCCCGUGAACCAUCGAGUCUUUGAACGCAAGUUGCGCCCGAAGCCUUCGGGCCGAGGGCACGCCUGCCUGGGCGUCACGCAUCGCGUCGCCCCCUCCCCUCCCGCUCCGCGGAGCGGGGGGCGGAGACUGGCCUCCCGUGCGCUCCCGUCGCGCGGCCGGCCC
rnacentral:rRNA from 1 species